GGACCUGACUGCUAUCGGAUUAAUACUAAGCCAUGCGAGUUUUUGUAGUAAUACAAGGCAUACGGCUCAGUAACGCGUAGUCAACCUAACCUAUGGACGGGAAUAACCUCGGGAAACUGAGAAUAAUGCCUGAUAGAACAUUAUGCCUGGAAUGGUUUAUGUUCCAAAUGAUUUAUCGCCGUAGGAUGGGACUGCGGCCUAUCAGUUUGUUGGUGAGGUAAUGGCCCACCAAGACUAUUACAGGUACGGGCUCUGAGAGGAGUAGCCCGGAGAUGGGUACUGAGACACGGACCCAGGCCCUAUGGGGCGCAGCAGGCGAGAAAACUUUGCAAUGUGCGAAAGCACGACAAGGUUAAUCCGAGUGGUUUCUGCUAAAGAAACCUUUUGUCAGUCCUAGAAACACUGAUGAAUAAGGGGUGGGCAAGUUCUGGUGUCAGCC
rnacentral:rRNA from 1 species